UUGGACUCGCAAGACCAGAUUCCAACACGGGCUGACAAUUGGAAAUGGGACCUGACACUCUUGGACACAGAUGUCGGCUACGGCAGCGGCUUCAAACAUAGGCUUUGGUGACCACAUUUCUAAUCGAGAGGUGAGAAUCUAGUUGUGCGAACGAGCGACAAACCAGCUGGGAGGAUGGAAGCACCUGUUCUCAAUUCCCCUUCUCCACCCGCGUUCAGUAACUAAAUACGGAUUCACCCCGUAAUAAGUCAACCGCAGACAGGGUCCUUCCACAACCACAUACUUAUGCCAGUAAAAGCUACAGCUCUUCUCCGAUGCAAGAAGCCUGGACUGCAGUCACCAUCUCAACACACCAACCAAGAGAAAGGCGGAUGGCUCAAUUCAAUAUGGAAAAUUGCACAAUAAAAGUUCCAGGACAUGAAGGCUGCAUACUGUGAACGUCAACCUUCAGGGCACCGUCCUGUGCAGAAGACUUUCUGCCCCAAGAGGGAUGGCUGACGGCAGACACUCACAACCAGCACAGACGCCUCCAACCUCAGACUAGGCCCUUCACAGUUGCUGCACUUACCCACCUUCCCCGAGUUUUUGUGUGGUAAUGACAACUGUAAAUAUAGUAUAAAGUAAUGUAUCUAGUGUCAUGUGUAAUACAUUGUUUAAAUUGUCCAUACAUUUCAAUGACAGUAAAUAUUGGUGGACACAA